rnacentral:pre_miRNA from 1 species
UGUGGCCUGCUCUGUCUGGGAGCAGCCAGGGACAAGUCACCUCCUGCCUUGGCUUUGCUAGGUGGCCCGGCUCAC